UAGGGAAUAUUGCAAAAUGGGCGAAAGCCCGAUGCAGCAACGCCGCGUGGGCGAUGAAGGCCUUCGGGUCGUAAAGCCCUUUUUGAGGGGAUGAGGAAGGACAGUACCCUCAGAAUAAGCCUCGGCUAACUACGUGCCAGCAGCCGCGGUAAAACGUAGGAGGCGAGCGUUAUCCGGAUUUACUGGGCGUAAAGCGCGUGCAGGCGGAUUGGAGAGUUGGAUGUGAAAGCUCCCGGCUUAACUGGGAGAGGUCGUUCAAUACUUCCAGUCUUGAGUGCAGCAGAGGGAAGUGGAAUUCCGGGUGUAGUGGUGAAAUGCGUAGAUAUCCGGAGGAACACCAGUGGCGAAAGCGGCUUCCUGGACUGUAACUGACGCUCAGACGCGAAAGCUAGGGUAGCAAACG
rnacentral:rRNA from 1 species